rnacentral:rRNA from 1 species
AACGAACGCUGGCGGCGUGCCUAACACAUGCAAGUCGAACGAGAUCUUCGGGUCUAGUGGCGCACGGGUGCGUAACGCGUGGGAAUCUGCCCUUUGGUUCGGAAUAACAGUUGGAAACGACUGCUAAUACCGGAUGAUGACGAAAGUCCAAAGAUUUAUCGCCAGAGGAUGAGCCCGCGUAGGAUUAGCUAGUUGGUGUGGUAAAGGCGCACCAAGGCGACGAUCUUUAGCUGGUCUGAGAGGAUGAUCAGCCACACUGGGACUGAGACACGGCCCAGACUCCUACGGGAGGCAGCAGUGGGGAAUAUUGGACAAUGGGCGAAAGCCUGAUCCAGCAAUGCCGCGUGAGUGAUGAAGGCCUUAGGGUUGUAAAGCUCUUUUACCCGGGAUGAUAAUGACAGUACCGGGAGAAUAAGCUCCGGCUAACUCCGUGCCAGCCGCCGCAGUAA